rnacentral:misc_RNA from 1 species
AAGUCGUAACAAGGUUUCCGUAGGUGAACCUGCGGAAGGAAAAACCCUGUGAACUUUCAACCCCAAGCUCUUGAUCCGAGGAGUUCAGCAAUCUCUGGUAAAUCAUAGUGAACAGCUUUUGAUUCAGAGACUCUGGAUAUUCCUAGCGCGGUCGAGUGAGGUAAGGCAAGUGACCUGGUACCCUCAAGACCAGUGUUCAGUGAUCUGUCAGUGUUCAUUGACUGGAAUCAAACGUUCUGUCAGUGUGCGUUUGGUUUGCAAGGGUGGCGCAGUAAACGAUCGCUGGAGGCCGACACGGCCGGCGACCGGGUCAGCGAGCUCUGCUCCCACUGUUACGACAAACCUCUGUUCCCCUCUAGUGAAAGCUAUUGGGUUAUAACUAAACGACUGUUAACAAUGGAUAUCUCGAUUCUC